GAUGAACGCUAGCGGGAGGCUUAACACAUGCAAGCCGAGGGGUAUAGUUCUUUCGGGAACUAGAGACCGGCGCACGGGUGCGUAACGCGUAUGCAACUUGCCCUACUGAAAAGGAUAGCCCUUCGAAAGGAGGAUUAAUACUUUAUAACAGAUUUAAUGGCAUCAUUAGAUUUUGAAAGAUUUAUCGCAGUAGGAUAGGCAUGCGUAAGAUUAGUUAGUUGGUGAGGUAACGGCUCACCAAGACGAUGAUCUUUAGGGGGCCUGAGAGGGUGAACCCCCACACUGGUACUGAGACACGGACCAGACUCCUACGGGAGGCAGCAGUGAGGAAUAUUGGACAAUGGGUGGAAGCCUGAUCCAGCCAUCCCGCGUGUAGGAUGACGGCCUUAUGGGUUGUAAACUACUUUUAUCUGGGGAUAAACCUACUUACGUGUAAGUAGCUGAAGGUACCAGAAGAAUAAGCACCGGCUAACUCCGUG
rnacentral:rRNA from 1 species